UACGGAGGGUGCAAGCGUUGUCCGGAAUCACUGGGCGUAAAGGGCGCGUAGGCGGCUCAUGAAGGCUGUGGUGAAAGUCCGGGGCUCAACCUCGGAUCGGCCGUGGCGACUCGUGGGCUGGAGCACUGUAGAGGCGGGUGGAAUUCCGGGUGUAGCGGUGAAAUGCGGAGAGAUCGGUAGGAACACCCGUGGCGAAGGCGGUCUCCUGGGGCACUCUUGACGCUGAGGCGCGAAAGCUGGGGGAGCGAACGGG
rnacentral:rRNA from 1 species